GGCAGCAUGGCUUAGUGGUUGGAGCGCCUGACUAGGACCUUGAAGAGACCAGGAUUCGAAUCCCUCUGCUCAGCCA